AUCAGUUACCAACGCAUCUUCAAAGUGUAAGGAUCCCGCAGUGAGAAGCGAAGUCUUAAAGUUUGGAAUAGCAAUUAUACGACAAACCUUGUUCGGUUUUGCCAAUUUCCAAGCCAGCACUGGGUAAAGUUUGUCCUAUAAUCCCGAAACGACGACCAGCUAAUUGUGAGCCACCUAAGGUCCCGAUCCUGGGAUGCAUCUUGUGCAGUUAUGUUUCAAUCUCACAUCACUGGGCAAAGUGUGUCUCAAGAUCCUGGCCACAUCGUCGCAACUUCAAAUCAAUUAAAUCAAAAAAUCAAGAGUAAGUGAUAUUGGGCACUCCAGUUUUAAAAUUGAAUGGCGAAUGUCGGUAUGGUCUCUUUUUCAAAGAAAGGUUUCGAUUAAGCGAAGUGACUAGACCGAACACUCGUGCUAUAAUUUUAAAAUAUUCAACAUGCUCAGUAAAGUUGCGAGUGAAAAUUAAAAUAUUAUGGAGCGGUUGCAAUUAGUUUCUUUGGUCGUCCAGCCUUAGGUGAUUUUUCCGGUCAUAAAGCUAGACAACCAUUGAAGUUCGUUGUGGCAUUAGCAGCACCACGAGUCAAGAAAUUAUGUUAAGUGAUCCCCAAAUUCAUCGGGCCAUUCGCUAAAAGGAACGAUCGUUGUGAUAUGAGUUGUUUCCUAACAUAUCACAGUGAUUUUCCUUUAUAACGCAUGUUUAAAGUCCACAACUCAUCAAGGAAAAUGAAAGUCAAAGUUGGCAGCUUACUUAAACUUAAUCACAGCCUUUAAUGUAGAGGGAAUAGUUGCUGUGCUGUAAGUUAAUAUACCAUAUCUAUAUCACAGUGGCUGUUCUUUUUGUACCUAAAGUGCCUAACAUCAUUAUUUAAUUUUUUUUUUUUUUGGCACACGAAUAACCAUGCCGUUUUUAACCCAAGGGAACUUCUGCUGCUGAUAUAUUAUUGAAAAACUACUAUAUCACAGUGGCUGUUCUUUUUGGUUGCACGGCCAAUUCCAACGAUUUGUCAUUUGUGGCACGCAUUUGUGUCACCUCAGUGCGAAAAUUGAAAAUUGUACAAAAAGAAGGGAACGGUUGCUGAUGAUGUAGUUUGAAACUCUCACAAUUUAUAUCACAGUGGCUGUUCUUUUUUGUUUGGCAAUCGAUCUACGUUCAGUGGUUUGCCAGGACAUGAAACAGAAAUAUUUUCCGUCAACAGACUUCUGAUUGCACAAAUUCCUCAAGCUUUGAACAUUUGGGAAAAACUGAUGAGACGUUGGUUUUCUAGCUUGUGCAUCAAUUCGUCAUUUGUCUGCAGUUUUGUCAAUCUUUAAUUGCACUUUACAAUUCAUUGCUUUUUGUUCAAUCAUUUUUGGGUGGUGGUGCAACUAGAAGAUAUUUUAUUUCUAGUGAAUAAAUAAAAACUGUAUCUAGGUGUGUUGAAUUUAUAAGUUUAAUUCUAAGAUUUGAUUUUAUCUUCAUUUGCAAAGUCAAAUUCUAGUGGAGUUGAUUUCUACAUCUAUUUUCUUCACUCUACUCUAAGCCAAGUGCGUAUUUGUCAGUAUAAACUUCAAUUUAAAGAACCGUCUUAAGUUUGCACAUGCAUUUUCAAUAGAUGCUGAGAUGUGUCAUGGUAAUGUGGGAGUACCACGUGCAAAACUUUCUAUCCGGUAACAGCCUGCUGCUCAACCCUUUCCAGGUGAAAGAGCACCUGACUCGCAUUUGGAAUUUAACGCGUGUGCGGAAUGGCCAAAAGUUGGCCAAAACCAACUCUUGGCCCGAGGCGUGGCCAGUUUGCUGCUGGCCAAAUGCAAAACAAGCAAACGGCGCAAUCCCAUUCUGCAUUGACAUGGCCGCCAUGCCAUAAUGUUCGUUAUGGCUGCAAAUGGCCAGCAGCCAUUGUUGCAUUGUGGCCAAGGACGUUGCUGUCUGUGCCACCGUUCCUGUUUCGACUUAUGUGGGUUGCUAAAUCCUCCAGCUCGACCGGAAGUGGGAAUACACGGAGGAGGAUAGAGGAAACCGAGUGGCGGAAAUGCGAUUAAAAUGGUCCGUAUAGUCACUGCAGGCAUCCGCUGUGAGAAAAACAAAGAAUAAUGUUCGUAGAAUUAGUGCGCUAAACAAAGAUUAAACUUGUCUAUAGUUUCCUACAGUGUUAUUGUAAAUGUAUUGCCCCAAUUGAAUUCAAAAUAAAACCCCAAUAAAAACGCGUUCAUUUCAAUUGUAAUAUAU
ensembl:ncRNA lncRNA:CR44504 long non-coding RNA:CR44504